CUGAACCAAAGGCAUUUACAUCAAAUUAGGAAUUUGUUGAUCAAGCACCUGCUGUACAUAGAACAACAAUCCAUAACAGCUUUGACUAUGCCGAGCAGGUCUUCUACCCAUACUAGGCACAGCAAGAGUGCCCUGCUUUCUGUUAAUCAUAUGGUUCACAGAUAUCUCAGUGACAAGGGUUUAGCUGUUAUGUGGCCAAUGGUGUGGUACCUCAUUUUCAACAUCAUCCAUAUAGAAAAGACUCUGCAUACCUGUACAUUGACAACUA